AUUGAACGCUGGCGGCAGGCCUAACACAUGCAAGUCGAGCGAGCGGCGGACGGGUGAGUAAUGUCUGGGAAACUGCCUGAUGGAGGGGGCUAACUCCUGGAAACGGUAGCUAAUACCGCAUACCAUCAGAUGUGCCCAGAUGGGAUUAGCUCGUAGGUGGGGUAACGGCUCACCUCGGCGACGAUCCCUAGCUGGUCUGAGAGGAUGACCAGCCACCCGGGAACUGAAGAACGGGCCAGAGUCCUAAGGGAGGCAGAAGUGGGGAAUAUUGCACAAUGGGCGCAAGCCUGAUGCAGCAAUGCCGCUUGUGUGAAGAAGGCCUGCGGGUUGUAAAGCACUUUCAGCGGGGAGGCGGUACCCGCAGAAGAAGCACCGGCUAACUCCGUGCCAGCAGCCGCGGUAAUAC
rnacentral:rRNA from 1 species